CUGCUAAUAAUUAUUUUUUUAUAAAAUCUAAUAUAUAUAUAUAUAUAUCAGUUUCAAAUCCAUCUUACCAAAAUUUAAUAAAAAAAAAAAUCCAGCAGUCUGAUCAGGCAAUCCUGUUGUUAUUGUCUUGAAGAUAAUUUUUGUACCCAUCAAUUUACUUGAGAAAAUGGACCAAAUGUACAAAUUUUUGAAUAAAAAAGUUUAAAAAAUAGAAGCAAUUUUUAAUAUUUAUAAUCAUAUAAAAUAAAAUACCAUGGCAGUUAGCAUAAACUAUUUAAAAAAAAAAAAUUGUCCUAUACUAUGUUCACUUCAUGGGGACAAAUACAAAUAUACUUACUGACAAAUAUAUGUGUUAUAUACAGGACGGCAGCAUCCAAAUUUGACUUUUGAAUAUUUUGUAUUGAGGAUAAACACUUUCCUUCAAAAUUAAGGUUCCAAUAGCAGAUUUUUGUAUUUUCAGAUUUUUAUGUAAUAAAAAAUUAAUUAAUUAAUAAAAAAAUAAAUCAAAAUUUAUGAAAAGUAAUUUCCCCAUCCUAUCCGUCAUCAGUCUUGAGACCUGAUCCAUCCUAAUAAUGACGGCGUUGAAAUCAGGAAUCCUGCCUAAUCCUAAUUACGAUGACGGGUGCAUCUCUUUCCAAGGGAAAUCUGAAAGAAGGGAUUUAGUCAGCUUAGACGAGAUAAGAGCAUUCUCAGGGACUAGGGAUAGCAGAGUUAGCAACCAAGAAUUAACUU
rnacentral:lncRNA from 1 species